GGUUUAUUAGCUCAAUUGAUUAAAGCAUUGUACUGGUAAUGUAAAAGUCACAUGUUUAAUUCCUCUAUGGACCA
rfam:Glycine max cultivar Williams 82 chromosome 8, whole genome shotgun sequence.